CAAGUCUUCUGAAGUUUCUAUAAAUUUCUCAUCAAACUGAAAAGCAGAAAGAGUCAAUGAGUUCUCGUUAAUUCAUGGCAUAGCAUUAUUGAACUUGAAUGGCCCUGUCCGGUACAGACUAUGGAGAAGUUCAUGAAACCGUGGCUCAGAGGUUAAACGACAUGUUCAGUCAAACUCCAGCUAGUGACGUUUCAUGGAAAUCCACACCCAGGACUAAAACGAGGGCAGGGCUGGAACCCACCCCGAUGUGGGCCCUGGGAGUCUGGGAGGAGCCUUUAAGCCAGACCUUUGUUUUCCCCCAAUAUUAAUACUUACAACAGUGCGUUGUUCACUCUUA